rnacentral:piRNA from 1 species
UGACUAAGAAGGAAUAAUGAAACGACAGAGU